rnacentral:tRNA from 1 species
AGCCCUAGGGUGUGACAUAUAAGAUUGCAAAUCUUAAGAAGCAAAUUAAUCUUUGCUGGGGCUU